rnacentral:rRNA from 1 species
GGAAUAUUGCACAAUGGAGGAAACUCUGAUGCAGUGACGCCGCGUGCAGGAAGAAGGUUUUCGGAUUGUAAACUGCUUUAGACAGGGAAGAAACAAGACAGUACCUGUAGAAUAAGCUCCGGCUAACUACGUGCCAGCAGCCGCGGUAAUACGUAGGGAGCAAGCGUUAUCCGGAUUUAUUGGGUGUAAAGGGUGCGUAGACGGGUAUAUAAGUUAGUUGUGAAAUCCCUCGGCUCAACUGAGGAACUGCAACUAAAACUGUAAAUCUUGAGUGCGGGAGAGGAAAGUGGAAUUCCUAGUGUAGCGGUGAAAUGCGUAGAUAUUAGGAGGAACACCAGUGGCGAAGGCGACUUUCUGGACCAUAACUGACGUUGAGGCGCGAAAGUGUGGGGAGCAAAC